UGGAAAUGGCUUCUUUACUUGAAGUCUGCUAAGAUGUCACUGAAAAUAUUGAGGAACAGGUGAGCGUGGUGAUCCCUGAAGACCAGCGUGGGACGAAAACGAAUGGAUUUGUCACCACAGCCACCCAACACCACACCUGAAAGAGGCAGGAGGACUUAAAAUUGCAAUGGAUUGUUUGUGAAAUGCCGUGUGUAAAGCCAUGCCUUCCUGCUACACUGCAUGCUUCCUGAAGGAAAGGGCUCUGAUGGUCUUCAGCAUCACUGUAACUGUCUCCAGUGUCCACUUACAACUCACCUCCUCAGUGAACACUUGUUGAGUAAAUAAAUGGAUAAAGAAA